UACGUAGGGAGCAAGCGUUGUUCGGAUUUACUGGGCGUAAAGGGCGCGUAGGCGGCGCGGUAAGUCACUUGUGAAAUCUCUGAGCUUAACUCAGAACGGCCAAGUGAUACUGCAGUGCUAGAGUGCAGAAGGGGCAAUCGGAAUUCUUGGUGUAGCGGUGAAAUGCGUAGAUAUCAAGAGGAACACCUGAGGUGAAGACGGGUUGCUGGGCUGACACUGGCGCUGAGUGCGCGAAAGCCAGGGGAGCAAACGGG
rnacentral:rRNA from 1 species